CAGAGCAGUUCUGGGAAGUGAAUCGUAAGACAGGAUCGUGCACGCCUGUCUGAAAGACACCAUCUGCCUGAUGGUGACGAAGGCUCAGCUCACCUGCAGAGACCGGGCUGUUUUGAACCUUUUAGGGUUUGGGUCUUACCCUUGUAGUCCUCGCCAUGGAACACGGUUCUAACUGGGCACUUUUCAGAGGGUGAAGAUUCUUCCUGGCUGUAUUGAAGAGGCACUGAGCAGACGCUGCCCUCGCUGGCCCCUGCACCGUCAUCAGGAUCGGCUUGUGAGACGCCCCGUCCCCAGAGGUGGCCUGGGAGAGCAGCAGCGAGCGCCCUCCAAAGAUUCCACCUGCUCAUUGGGGGAUGGAGGAGAUUCCUCACAUACGUAGCCCCCCCCCCCCCACUGUCAUGCACUGCUGCCAACGGAGAAGCGAGGAUGUCCCUCUUGGCAUUGGACCAAUGAUCGCAUCCCCUUUUAUCUACAUUCAAAGAGAGUACUCCGCUGGACAGGCAACCCUGGCGACCGGCUGGAGUACCAUCUUCUGAGGGGGCGUCGUCUUGGCAACGCACGCCGAUUUCUCUUUGUCUCUGGAGGUAUCAGCAGUGAGGUUUGCCUGGGGAAUCACAUGGGCUUCGACCAGUACUGCCUACUGCAGAGAACAGCAGUUCAGUAUUGUGUAGUUCAGUAUUGUGUAGUUCAGUAUUGUGUAGUUCAGUAUUGUGUAGUUCAGUAUUGUUUGCUUUGGAGCUGAGUGUCUGUAAUAAUAUGAGGUUGCAUGGACCCAUACCCACAAACGUGUAUGAGUGUGCAGUCAGUGCUGAUAUGUACCAACUCCUGGAGUCUUUACUGGUGGCCCACCUAUCCUGGGAUGCAUCAUGGCCUUCUCUCUCCACUGGGCACUAGCCAUGCCUCAUUUUUGGCCAAUGUUGCACUCACUAAAAAAUUCCAAUAGCCCUUUCUUACGACUGUUACUUUAUUUAACUUGUCAGUAUCCUUUGAUCGUUCCCAGUGUUUGACUUUUCUUAUUCAAACUGGUGCGAUGUCACCCUUUAAAUGACACAGAAGUGAGGCCUACUGGGGACCUUUACUUAUUCACGCGUCGUUGACAGGUAAAUCCCACAAAAUUAAACAUGGAGGGACCUGCAACACCUCUGACAGCCCCAUAUCAAACACAAUGUAUACCUACACCUGAAAGCUGUUGUGUAGCUAGCAUCCGUAAAGGUGAUCCUUCCAUCAGGCAACAUGUGGUGCGUCCAGUGGUUCCUGUUUCAUUUGCUCAUGCUUGGCCUUGCUUUUCUCUCCACAGUUAAUGCCCUUAAUUUGUUUCUGUGCUGAGUUGCACUCUCUCUGUGAUGUGAAUUUUUCCCUUGGUAGGACCCGGUUUAAUUUGCAUUGACGACGGACACAAUUUGCUGUCUCCUGGCAGCCUGGCAGUAUGGAGAUCACAUCGGCAUCAGUGCCCUGUAUGCUGGACCAGGGGGAGCCUUAGAGCCAUCCAGCUUCACCCUGAACUGGGUUACGCUCUUGCUCUUGUGUUUGAUGCUCCGCUUUUAGGAGGUCAGGUGCCGGUAAUUCUUAAAGAUAUUAAAAAGGUCUAGAAUAUAUAAAAGCUGCCCCUACAUCACGAUGGGGAAUUCUUCAUUCUGUUGCUCAUUAGAUGGCUAGACUUCACAUUCUACAAUAUUUUCUUCAACUCGAUUUUUUAGUCUCAGUUGUAAUAAAUAUGACAGUAAAAUACCGUUUGUAAAUACGCAGUAUAACUCUAUAAUGUACUAUCCCUGACAAAACAGAGUGCUUUGAGUGUGCUUUCAGUCCUUGAAUACUAUGCGGUGUUUAAUGCUAUCCAAUUUAUUAAUUCUUAUAAUUAAAUAAGGUUUUGUUUGUUCCACAAUCAUGUAACACCGAUUGGUUAAGGAGGUCCGCAAAGAACUCUUCUUGUCUGCUGCCUUUGUAGAUAAUAAUUGUGUCACUUCUAUAAAGUGGGAAAUGGAAACAUCUUGCGUUUGGAGAGUAAUACCUCAUGCUUGAUAAAUUACACGGAAAAUCUUAGUUGUUUCGACACUGUUAGACAAACCACAUUAGAUUAAAUGGAUGUUGCAGACUUGAGUAAUAUUCUAAGUCAUUGUCCCAGACGAUAAAGAGCCAAUAAGUUGUCAGCACCUUCUCAUCAGCCUGAUGAGCCUCAACCUGAUCCUCAGAGAUUGUAGUGGAGAAAGAAUCUGCUCUCCAGUGAAGCUUCAUCAAAAGCAAAUUCAAGGUCCCAACCCAUCUGAACCGAAGUCUAGUGAACUACCAUAUAUCAGUGCUAUCAAAGCAUAAAUUGGAUCAGAAGAUGAUUACUGUGCUAGCAGCAACAGAAAUAUAGCCUGAACAAAUGGAAAGUGGACAGCAGCAAUGGCUUUCAGAAUGGAGAUUCGAGAUGCCGCUGUAUAGCAGUGAAGAGACAAAUUACUCUAAGAGGAUCAGGUUAGAAAGAAUGAGUCAUUCAGCAGCUGAAGAUACUGAAGUGACUUUAGUUUAUAUUCCAUUUUCUACAAUAUAAUUGGACCAAAUAUUAUGCUGAAUACAUACAGAGUUGUGUUGUCCAGGCUCAUUAUAUCUCCUAUGGUAGGAAUCAGUAGGAUUAAUGUCCAUAAGAAACAGGUUGUCUAUCUCCUACAUAACCAUCCAACAUCUGUAUGAGGACCUCAGAUGGCUAAAGGCAUCAAAGCAAGAGUGAAUAUGGUUGAAGACACAAACACAGCGCUAUCCUCUUAGUGGCUGUGCCAAACGCCUUCUAAGCACAGCUAUGGACACCAGCAUAUAAGGCCUUGCCUCUUUUUCAGACUGCUAGCAGGAAAAUCGUAUUGGAAGUGUCGUUUUUAAGUUUAAAUACACCUUGACCAGGACACCCAAUCUCUGUGUAUUCUAGGUUCAGUACAUUUCCUGGGAAGACAUAUCUGGAAUGUAUCCUUUAAUUAGGAUGGCCUGCAUAAUAUAGCCGAAUACAGUACUCAGACUACAUAAAGAAUCAGGAAAGCUGACCGUGUUGUCAUGUAUUCAUGCAUCGGUCCAAUAGACAGAUGGGAUAGGGUAGGCUCACAUCGUAGAAGACUUCCAUUGACAUAUUGUAAUUCCCGAAACAUUCUCUAAAGUUAAUUGUGAGCACAACAUUAAUUGUAGGGAUUUGAGAAAAUGAUACGAAUUUCAAAUUGGAAAGAAAAAACGGAUUUUGUUUUUCACUGGACAUUAUUAGUGCCAAAAUCUGAUGGGCUGCUGUGUUUAAUUCUCUUUUUGGUUGUGAAGUUAGUUACAUUGUGACUGCAGAUACAUUGGAAGCAUAUUUUUGCGGCGCGACAGAAGACAUUCAGCUGAGCUCAUUCUCAUGCAUAUAAGCCUUCGUGGUGUAUCCAUCUGGAGGGUUUGAUCUGCAUUCAGUCUUGAAGGGAUAGCUAUCACAAGCUGGCCGCCUGAAUGCAGCCGAUGACAAGGUAGCAAUCUGUAGCCUUCAAGCUGACUGAAGAAGACACCCACUGGGCGUCAUGUCAAUGGAACUGUCAGAGAACCCCCCCCCCCCCCCCCCCCAGGGAUUGUCCCAGGAGGCGUCCUCAGUCACCCCCACCACUGUUACAGUCCCAUACACUUCUGUGAACCAUUGGGAAAGACUUCACCUACCUGCCAGUUCCCUGUAAAACUGAAGAUGUAGGAGUAAGACUGAGUGUGAAGUACUCUUUCAAUCAAAGUGCCACAAUAGGCCACAUUAAACCAGUGUUCGGUACCUUCUCAGCAAGCUGCAGACAAAAUGUGACACCUGUCAGUGUCUGGAAUCCACGCCAGAUGGAUCUGCCCUCUCUCAAAAACCAGUUGUCAGUUUGUACUUUUAGAAUCUUUUGGGGGAAUUGUGUGUGAGUAAAGAUAGGAAUGGACAAAGAGCAAUGCAGCGUCUUUUGAUCGGAAAUUGUUAGGGACAUAAAAUCAAAUGUACAUGAUUUGUAACAGAUUGUAAGCUAGUAGAAAACUUGCAGAUUGGUCACAUGUGACUUUUAUGGUUUCAAAUAUUCAGCUAUAAGUGUUGUGUGCCAUUAUAUAAGUAAACGAUGAAGGCGUAUGUCCUAUGAAAAGAACAUGACAAGAAACAGAGGGUGGAGAGAGACACCACAUCAGGCUCUGCAUCAGAUACGAUACAUCCUGUGACAUCCUGGCGGUGAUACUUUCUGUCAUCCCAUUUGCUCUUUUGAUGACUUAAUGAGCAAUUGUAUCGUAAACUUAAAAUAACAUUUCCAACCUAUUCUCCAAACAUUGUGCCAUAUCUAAUGCUGUAAUCAGUUUCGUUAAUUAAGUAUUAUUAAUUGACCGGGGUUGCCGAACAAAGUCAUUGAUAUACCAAAUGGAAAAUGGCCUUCUUCCAAAGAUGUUGAAAGAUAUCACUUUAUUGUUUGUUUGCUUGUGUGUUUACAGUAUUCUAUGAAAGUAUAUUAGUUUCAGUUAGAAUGUAUGAUACCAGCUUAGACCUGUAUGAAUUUAGUCUUUGCUUGCAAUGAGGAGUGUUUUGUCAUUUCGAAAACAAAAGAAUCAAGGACCUGCUUCCUGAUUUGGUAGAUCUUGUCAAAGGUUGUGUGAUUAAUCUUUAUCUUAUGAAGACUAAAUAUUUCGUUGACAGGUCUGUAAUCGUUAUAGAGACUCACUUGGGUCUUCAAAGUGGGACAAAUCAAGGAGGUAGCCCAGAGAGGGCCCAGGUACCCAUAUAAAUAAAGUGCUUAGCAUAUGGAGGUUGGGGCUGUCCGUCCUAUUAUGUCACUCAGUCUUGACGAGAUUUCUCAUGAGAAAAGUAACACUUUGCUCACAUGAAAGGGGAGCAAGCCAUAAUAGUUCCGAGCACGUCCAGUUCGCUUUUUGAUGUCGCCAUGUUAUCUGUCUUGUAGGCUUUUUGUUUCUUUUCAGAGCAUAAUUGUGUUUAUUGAAGAGGCCAUUUCACCCUCAUGGAGCACUGAAGCCUCCCUCUAAUUGCCGCCACAUCAAAUAAGUAGUAAAAACCUUCAAAUUAAUGUGGAAAAAAGCACUAAGCGUUGCCUAAAAGUGGGUUACUUCUUUGUCAUUUCUCAUCAAAGCUUAGGUGUCUGGUGGGGGGGGACAAGUGGGUUGAAAAGAGCGAGAAGGGUAAGGGGGUGCUAAUCACACAGGAAGACCUCUUCACAGAUUUGUUCUACGCCAGUGAGCGUUGGCCAUUUGAUUCAGGCGGUAGCCGGUCCCACCGCCGUGACCCUCAUUGUCUGCCCAUGCGAGCACGGGGUCCGCCGUGGACACAAAGGCAAAGGCUCAAGGCCCUGUGUGUUCUCUGAGUGUAACUUCUCCCCUCGCUGUCAUGCUCCACCGGUAUGAGUGCCUCGGCCCUUGACCCCGCACCGCACAAUGGGAGAAAAAGCCGUCAAUCCCAGGCCUCCUUCAAAGGAACAUCGCUUUUGUGCAAACAGGUCUGGAAAGUCACAGUUCAUAUCCUGCUCAAAGCAUGCCAAGAGUCAAAAAAGCCACUGGCCACUUUGUAUUAGACGUCAUGUUUUUCUCUCCCUCUCUCUCUCCCUCUCUCUCUCUCUCUCCCCCCUUCAUUUGGUCCUCAUCUUCCGUUGCUAGCAGGUGAGCCGGCAGUGGAUAGCCACCGUGUUCUGACCCCCAGCUCUGCCUUGGAUCUUGUCAAGGUCGCGACCUCCUGGUAUGCGGCCGUCACCGAUACCAGCGGUAGCACCGUAAUCCGUGUCAACAGGUCGGGUCGUCGCUCAGAAAGCUCCAAGUGAUACGACUGCAGGUUCUGAUCUGGGACUUAAGCAACUGAUGUGUUAAUUGCAAGACCAAUGCAGCGGCAGGUGGCCCAGUGAAGCACGGCAAAGAUGUGAGGACAGAUCAAACCACCGCUUGAUAAAGGGGAAACACUCUUCUUGACAACCCUUAACAGAUACAUUUACAUUUUUGAACAUAAGAACUUUGGUGUAGAAUCACUUAAAGAGGUCAAGACCUACCCCCUCAUGUCCCUACCUCAGCGCCAUGAACUUGCUAUAAGGACAUAAAGAAAACCUCUGGAAAAUUAUAAAAUAUGAGGCUUCGAGGAAACUUUCCCCAGAACAGCUUCAUCCUGCCAGAGUCACAGAUCGAAUACAAAUGAUUAUGGAACAUGAGAUUUGAUCAGGUGUGGAGGCAGAGUGUCCCAGAUGUUGCAACGCAGCCUUGUAGAAUUACACAACCAAGGGAUGAUAUUGGCUUCACUGGGCUCUGACCUGCUGCAUGCACUUGGCCAAUUUGCGGCUCAAUGUAAGCCAGCCAGGAGGAGGACCAGUCUGAGGCCAUGGUUCUCAACCAGAGAAAUGUGGAUUGCCCUCUCCUGGUUGAGGAAGAGUUACUGCCAGGUGAUCAGUUAGACAUCUUCCAGUACAACAGCGCCCCCGAAAGGAUCCCUGCUGCAAUGAUGGUCACAGAGUGCCAGUUCAGCACAUUCUGUAACAUACCCUCCUGUGGAUACAAAAGAAUGCAUCAGGGUAUUCUUCUGAGCUGAUGGACCCUAUGGGUGGUCAGAAUGGUAAACAGGGACCACAGACUUACCCAUCCACCUUGCUGCCUGAUCCAUAAAGAAACGUUUUCCCUGAUGAACUCCA